CUAGUAGACAUCGUAGUGCCAUAAUCGUUGUUUGAUGCUCCUUCUCAAAGUAGGUCACGAUCCUUCUUUUAGCGCCAAUUUGUUGCCGCUGAAAUCUGGAUUGUGGUCAGAUGGAGCUGGAGUGAUGGUGCGUCCCUCCGGCAGAAAAUCUGCACAAGUCCUAAUUGGAGUUGACUCCAGCGGAGAUCCUUCGACGCUCAAGUCAGAUCUCCGGAAAACAGUAGAGUGUAGAAGAUUAUGGACGCAUAUCUUGGGAGGUCCUGUGUAAAUCUUUUUGUAAGGUGGAACCGCGUAACCGUUGAGACAGAUCAUAGGGGGGUUAGGCGCAACAUGGUGAGACUCCUGAUCGAGAUCAUCGGGUGGUUAUUGCACCUCCCUUAUCCAUUUCGAAAUCAACUGAGAGUCAUAGACGAUUCCGAAUUUCGAAUUAAAGCACAAGUGAGAUCCGGCUCUACCUCUUUAGUUGAAUAUAAUUUGAUGGGGUUGGAUGCUGAAAGAAGGAAAUGGCCGAGUCGAAUCUCAUCUAGCAAGAUGAGAGCUGAUGCUUAAAUAUGGCCAAAGUCAGAACUUAACAUGCCUGAGCACCCCACCAUCUGCAAUCUUUUGUGUUGGAAGCCGGUAGCUAUAAAGAUUGCGGUAGAUAAGGUGACGAAGCCCAAAAAGAUCGAUCCUUGAAUUUCGCUGACUGCGAUCAAGAUCUAGGGGUCACCAUAGGCCGAAGUUAGGAUGAGCCAUCUCGCUGUGCCCAUCGGCCCAAACAUAACCAUCUAUCUCCGUCUUCGGCCCAAGGAGGAAAUAUCCCCCUAACACAUGUAAUUAUAAAUAUUUUUGAAUUAAUACAAAGGAUUUU
rnacentral:lncRNA from 1 species